rnacentral:rRNA from 1 species
AGUGAACGCUGGCGGUAGGCCUAACACAUGCAAGUCGAACGGCAGCACAGUAAGAGCUUGCUCUUACGGGUGGCGAGUGGCGGACGGGUGAGGAAUACAUCGGAAUCUACUUUUUCGUGGGGGAUAACGUAGGGAAACUUACGCUAAUACCGCAUACGACCUACGGGUGAAAGCAGGGGAUCUUCGGACCUUGCGCGAUUGAAUGAGCCGAUGUCGGAUUAGCUAGUUGGCGGGGUACAGGCCCACCAAGGCGACGAUCCGUAGCUGGUCUGAGAGGAUGAUCGGCCACACUGGAACUGAGACACGGUCCAGACUCCUACGGGAGGCAGCAGUGGGGAAUAUUGGACAAUGGGCGCAAGCCUGAUCCAGCCAUACCGCGUGGGUGAAGAAGGCCUUCGGGUUGUAAAGCCCUUUUGUUGGGAAAGAAAAGCAGCAGGUUAAUACCCCGCUGUUCUGACGGUACCCAAAGAAUAAGCACCGGCUAACUUCGUG